CCAGCUGUAAACUCUGGGUACUAGGUGUGGGGGGCUUCGAUGCCCUCUGUGCCGUAGUUAACGCAUUAAGUACCCCGCCUGGGGAGUACGAUCGCAAGGUUGAAACUCAAAGGAAUUGACGGGGGCCCGCACAAGCGGUGGAGCAUGUGGUUUAAUUCGAUGCAACGCGAAGAACCUUACCAGGGCUUGACAUCCUCGGACGACACUAGAGAUAGUGUUUUCUCUUCGGAGACUGAGAGACAGGUGG
rnacentral:rRNA from 1 species